rnacentral:rRNA from 1 species
CAGUAGCCGCGGGAACACGUAGGUGGCAAGCGUUGUCCGGAAUUAUUGGGCGUAAAGCGCGCGCAGGUGGUUUAAUAAGUCUGAUGUGAAAGCCCACGGUUCAACCGUGGAGGGUCAUUGGAAACUGUUAAACUUGAGUGCAGGAGAGAAAAGUGGAAGUCCUAGUGUAGCGGUGAAAUGCGUAGAUAUAUGGAGGAACACCGGUGGCGAAAGCGGCUCUCUGGCUUGUAACUGACGCUGAGGCUCGAAAGCGUAGGGAGCAAACAGGAUUAGAUACCCCAGUAGUCCCUGUCUCUUAUAC